GAUGAACGCUGGCGGCGUGCUUAACACAUGCAAGUCGAACGGAAAGGCCAGUGCUUGCACUGGUACUCGAGUGGCGAACGGGUGAGUAACACGUGGGUGAUCUGCCCUGCACUUCGGGAUAAACCUGGGAAACUGGGUCUAAUACCGGAUAGGACAAUGGUUUGGAUGCCGUUGUGGAAAGUUUUUUCGGUGUGGGAUGAGCUCGCGGCCUAUCAGCUUGUUGGUGGGGUAAUGGCCUACCAAGGCGUCGACGGGUAGCCGGCCUGAGAGGGUGUACGGCCACAUUGGGACUGAGAUACGGCCCAGACUCCUACGGGAGGCAGCAGUGGGGAAUAUUGCACAAUGGGCGCAAGCCUGAUGCAGCGACGCCGCGUGGGGGAUGACGGCCUUCGGGUUGUAAACUCCUUUCGCUAGGGACGAAGCGUAUUUGUGACGGUACCUGGAGAAGAAGCACCGGCUAACUACGUG
rnacentral:rRNA from 1 species